UGGGUAGUUUGACUGGGGCGGUCUCCUCCUAAAGAGUAACGGAGGAGCACGAAGGUUGGCUAAUCCUGGUCGGACAUCAGGAGGUUAGUGCAAUGGCAUAAGCCAGCUUGACUGCGAGCGUGACGGCGCGAGCAGGUGCGAAAGCAGGUCAUAGUGAUCCGGUGGUUCUGAAUGGAAGGGCCAUCGCUCAACGGAUAAAAGGUACUCCGGGGAUAACAGGCUGAUACCGCCCAAGAGUUCAUAUCGACGGCGGUGUUUGGCACCUCGAUGUCGGCUCAUCACAUCCUGGGGCUGAAGUAGGUCCCAAGGGUAUGGCUGUUCGCCAUUUAAAGUGGUACGCGAGCUGGGUUUAGAACGUCGUGAGACAGUUCGGUCCCUAUCUGCCGUGGGCGCUGGAAGAUUGAGGGGGGCUGCUCCUAGUACGAGAGGACCGGAGUGGACGCAUCACUGGUGUUCGGGUUGUCAUGCCAAUGGCACUGCCCGGUAGCUACAUGCGGAAGAGAUAAGUGCUGAAAGCAUCUAAGCACGAAACUUGCCCCGAGAUGAAUCUUCCCUGAGCCUUUAAGGCUCCUGAAGGAACGUUGAAGACGACGACGUUGAUAGGCCGGGUGUGUAAGCGCAGCGAUGCGUUGAGCUAACCGGUACUAAUGAACCGUGAGGCUUAACCUUACAACGCCGAAG
rnacentral:rRNA from 1 species